rnacentral:rRNA from 1 species
AUUGAACGCUGGCGGCAGGCUUAACACAUGCAAGUCGAGCGGACGGCGGACGGGCGAGUUAUGGCUGGGCAACUGCCUGACGGAGGGGGAUAACUACUGGAAACGGUAGCUACUACCGCAUACCCUCAUUUGUGCCCUGAUGGGUUUAGCUAGUCGGUGGGGUAAUGGCUCACCUAGGCGACGAUCCAUAGCUGGUCUGAGAGGAUGACCAGCCACACUGGAACUGAGACACGGUCCAGACUCCUACGGGAGGCAGCAGUGGGGAAUAUUGGGCAAUGGACGAAAGCCUGAUGCAGCCAUGCCGCGUGUGUGAAGAAGGCCUUCGGGUUGUAAAGCACUUUCAGCGAGGAGGCGGUACCCGCAGAAGAAGCACCGGCUAACUCCGUGCCAGCAGCCGCGGUAAUUC